rnacentral:rRNA from 1 species
CCUACGGGUGGCUGCAGUGGUGAAUAUUGGACAAUGGGGGGAACCCUGAUCCAGCCAUGCCGCGUGUGUGAAGAAGACCCUCGGGUUGUAAAGCACUUUCAGUGAGGAAGAACGCCUGGUGGUUAAUACCCAUCAGGAAAGACAUCACUCACAGAAGAAGCACCGGCUAACUCCGUGCCAGCAGCCGCGGUAAUACGGAGGGUGCGAGCGUUAAUCGGAAUUACUGGGCGUAAAGCGCGCGUAGGUGGCUUGAUAAGCCGGUUGUGAAAGCCCCGGGCUCAACCUGGGAACGGCAUCCGGAACUGUCAAGCUAGAGUGCAGGAGAGGAAGGUAGAAUUCCCGGUGUAGCGGUGAAAUGCGUAGAGAUCGGGAGGAAUACCAGUGGCGAAGGCGGCCUUCUGGACUGACACUGACACUGAGGUGCGAAAGCGUGGGUAGCAAACAGGAUUAGAUACCCCAGUAGUC